UGGUCCUUCUGGCCCCUGUAUCCCCCCAUAGCUCCGGGGGUCUGAACUUGGCAGGAGGUCUGGCCUCCUGGGGUAUCCAGCGAUGUUAUUUGGGAGGCGAGGGGGGCUGGACUGGAUGGGGAAAGGCUGAUGUGGGCAGGAGGGGUGUGGGGUGGGCUUUGGGGACCCAGUAACUCCCAGGACCUCCCAGUUUCCCCCUCCCUCAUGUCCUGCUCCCACCAGUCCCUUGUUUCCCUCACUCAGAGCUGGAGAAAAAACCCAGGAGUCUGGGAUCCCAGCUCCCUACUGCUGCAACCCACCAGACCCCACAUCCUCCACAGUGAACCCCACUCCUGUCCCAGAAAACCCAGGCUUCCCGCUCCCCCCCCACUCAGAACCCCAUCCCCCUCUCCUCUCCCAGAAAACCCAGGCAUCCUGCUCAAACCCCCCAGGCCCUCUCCUUUCCCAGACAACCUAGGCAUCUGGCUCCCAACCCUGCAUGCUCCAACCCGGCAGACCCUUGUCAUCACCGGGAGCCUCAGAGAGAAGCCAGGCAUCCGGGCUGGAGAGCGGACAGUCUACCCCUCUUGUGCUGAGCUCACUGCAGAGGGCUGGGGUGUGGGGGUCUGGUGGGUUACAGCAGGGGGGCAGGAGGGGAGGGCUCAGAGCCCGGAUGCCUGGGUUCCCUGUGCAUGUGGCGGGGGAGGACAAAAAGAGAUGAUGGGUGAACUCCAGCACCAGGCAGACACCCUGCCCCCCAGAUGUGACCCAUCUCUCCCCCCAACUCAAACCCCACCCCCCAGAGGACUCCCUGAUGGAGCAGAAGCACCAGAAUAGGAGCAGGGAGCCAUGGGGCACAAGGAGGGAAGCAAGGGAGGGGCUUUUCUAGCAGCCUAUCUCCUGCCUCCCCAGGCUCCGGCCUGAGCUGUGAGGAGUGUUUCAGCCUGGGGGGACCCUGCUCCGGCCCGGUGCUGCCCUGUGGUCCGGGGGAGGAGGCCUGCAUGAGCGGCAUGGGGCACUACACCCUGGAGGGAAGGACGCUGCUCAUAGCCUUCAGGUCCUGCCUGGAGCCGGACAGCUGCAGGACGACGCAUUUCAGUCUCACCUUCCGGCCCGACGUCACCGUAAGGGCGAAUGUCACUUGCUGCCAUGAGGACGGCUGCAACACGGGGGUCGUGAAGUUGCCAUCCGUGAGCUCUGUCCCCAAUGGCCGGUUGUGCCCGUCAUGCUAUGUGGAAGGAGCUAGCCAGUGCAAACGCAUGGAGCCGCUACCCUGCACUGGGGCCGAGGACCGCUGCGUUGAGUUCACCGGGACAUUGUCAGCUGGUAACAUGUCCCUGACCAAGGCGGCUGCGGGCUGUGGCACCCCUGGUGCCUGCCAGAAGCGCGUCGGGGUCACCAAAUACGCCAGAGGCAUCUUUGACACCCUCACCUGGGCUGUGUGCUACCCGGCACCCCACGGAGAGCUGUGAACCACACUUGGCCUGCCUCCGGCUUGGGGGCACCCCCUCUGGCUGCCACCUGCUGCUGUUUCUCUUGAGAGGGGACUUUUGGGGGGCAAGGGUCUUCUCUGCAGGGCAGCAGUUGAAUAAAAGCCUGGAGGACCCUUAACAA